rnacentral:rRNA from 1 species
CGAAAGCCUGACGGAGCAAUACCGCGUGAGGGAGGAAGGCUCUUGGGUCGUAAACCUCUUUUCUCAAGGAAGAAAAAAAUGACGGUACUUGAGGAAUAAGCAUCGGCUAACUCCGUGCCAGCAGCCGCGGUAAUACGGAGGAUGCAAGCGUUAUCCGGAAUGAUUGGGCGUAAAGGGUCCGCAGGUGGAACUGAAAGUCUGCUGUUAAAGAAUCUGGCUCAACCAGAUAAAAGCAGUGGAAACUACAGAACUAGAGUGCGUUCGGGGCAGAAGGAAUUCCUGGUGUAGCGGUGAAAUGCGUAGAUAUCAGGAAGAACACCGGUGGCGAAAGCGUUCUGCUAGGCCGUAACUGACACUGAGGGACGAAAGCUAGGGGAGCG